GACGAACGCUGGCGGCGUGCCUAAUACAUGCAAGUAGAACGCUGAAGAGAGGAGCUUGCUCUUCUUGGAUGAGUUGCGAACGGGUGAGUAACGCGUAGGUAACCUGCCUGGUAGCGGGGGAUAACUAUUGGAAACGAUAGCUAAUACCGCAUAAAAUUGCUUAUCGCAUGAUAAUUAAUUGAAAGAUGCAAUUGCAUCACUACCAGAUGGACCUGCGUUGUAUUAGCUAGUUGGUGAGGUAACGGCUCACCAAGGCGACGAUACAUAGCCGACCUGAGAGGGUGAUCGGCCACACUGGGACUGAGACACGGCCCAGACUCCUACGGGAGGCAGCAGUAGGGAAUCUUCGGCAAUUGGGGGGAACCCUGACCGAGC
rnacentral:rRNA from 1 species